UACUGAGUGCUUACUAUGUGCCAGG
rnacentral:piRNA from 6 species